UGGGGCAGCUCCGGGCGGGGAU
rnacentral:misc_RNA from 1 species